rnacentral:lncRNA from 1 species
GCUCCUACACCAUGGGACCAGCCUGCACCAGGCACCAGGCACCAGGCAGCCAGAUGAUCAAGGUCAACUGCUCCAUUCAGCAGCCAGAGUACAAGGAACCUCAGGAUCCAGCGACCUCAUGCCCAUCCAGCUGUGGGACCCAGCCACAGCCUCGGACUCCAUCAGCCCCAUGAGCAUCGCCUCCCAGUGUCCCACUCUUGGAACCAGCUGCUUGGUCUUGGACUGGGGUUGGCUGUCCAAUAGUGGUUUGAGGUGUGUCUGUCUCUGGGUCCACCUUCGUCCAUGGCUGUCCCUGUCCAGCUACUGACUCUGUGUCAUCCAUCACAGGAAGCAUUUUGCAGGGUCUGGCUGUCCCGGUGAUGUCCAAGACGUCCUGCAGAGCAUCCCUCCCUGAGUUACACCCUUCCUGCAUGUUCUGCGCUGGUGGUCAGGACAACAAGGACUCUUGCGUUGUGACUGGAAGAGGCAGGGGUACCGUAUGGGAAAGAAGAGGGUAAGAAAAAUGGUGCCAAAUGGCCCUCUGUGGCUCGCAGCCAGAGUGUCAGCAAGGACUGUGCAUGCCCAGCAACUGCAGGAAGAGCUGGACGGGGGAAGGUGACCCACCAGCUGAGUGUGGAAUGGCGAAAAGGAUCAGAGAGUGAGAAACCAGAGAUCCCCAAGACCAGUGGGCAUCUGAAAUUGAUUACCACCUUGUACUUUGUUGACCAGUGGUCCCUGCCCUGCUCUCAGCUGGCUCAGAGGCCACAGUGUGCCAUACACACACACACACACACACACACACACACACACCUGAACUCUAGCCCCCGGGCCCCAGCAUAUUCUUCCUCAGGACAGAGAGGUCACUCCUUACCCCCACUCAAACACGAGAUGCCCAGCCUCUACCUCCCCAAACUCCAGACACCCAGGAGCUCCCACUCCCCACCACCAGAGGCCUUCAGGACAUGGAGCCCUGCCUCCAUAACAUCCCCGUGUGGCCCCAGGCAGCACCCAGACUGGGGAGAGGCAUGAGGCACUGCAGGUCUGGCUUCCACAUUCAAAAAGGCACUUCCAGCCAGGCACAGUGGCUCACACCUGUAAUCCCAGGGGCUCGGGAGGCUGAGGCUGGAAGAUCACAAGUUCGAAGCCAGCCUCAGCAACUUAGUGAGGCCCUCAACAACUAAGUGAACCGCGUCUCAAAAUAAAAAAUAAAAAGGGCUGGGGAUGUGGCUCAGUGGUUAAGCAGCUCUGGUUUCAAUCCCCAGUGCCAAAAAAAAAAAACAAAGAGGAAGAACAUCUCCCAGAUUGGGAAUGGCACACACAGCCUAGGUCCCAGGACCGGUUCACCUUCUGUCAGGCAUCCUCACUCCUCAGCUCCUCAUCACCCCUCUGCCUGGCUUUUCCCCUGGGCCUCCCCUCCGCUGCUCCAGCAGCCCUUGAAGCCCUGAUGUGUUUCAUAAUAGCUGUUGUCCUUUCUCGGAACUGUUUCCCUCUUCGCUGUCCACGCCCCCAUCUCCUGUUCUAUGGUCCCUGAAAGAGGAAGGGGAAGGACCAGAGGGUGAGAGGUUCUCUGUGCUGGGAGAUGGAGAUGAGGACACUGGGUUUAGUGGGUUCAGCAGGUGGCCACUGGGAGUCAGGCUUCAAGGCCAUCCUUGGGUCACAAAUACAAAAUGCAUGUGGCAUUCGGUAUGUGUAUGACCUGGGCUUGGUCCCAGAGUUUGUGCAUCUCAGCAAACUCGGUGUCAUAUGAAAUCACAUAUGUGGCCAUAGUCAGCCAUGGACAACUGGACCUGCACACUUAGGCUCUGACAAGGACAGCGCUCUAAGCUGAACACUCUUGGUGGGUGUCAGGUGGCACUUCCAAUAACCAGCAUGGAUGUUCACGUGGGAAUGCAGAUGGACGGUUAGGACUUGGACACACACACACAGACCCAUCCAGCCUCCAGUGUGGCAGGACAUUGAUGUCACCCAGGCACACGCCACACACAGGACCCAGACAUGCAAGGGAAGGUCUUACUAAGGUACACAGGGAGAGAUGCCAAGGUGCCCUCAGGCCCCCAAGACGGGGGCAGUCAUGGGUCUAUGGUACAGUGGCCACACCCAGAGGCCACCCACCUGGGUUCACACAUACCAGCUCUGAGUCCUUGAGAAACUCAGUUGACUACAGUGAGCUUCCAUCUCCUCCUCUGUUAUGUGGGGGCUCUCAAGAGUUAAAUGGGAAACUGUGUGUGUGUGUGUGUGUGUGUGUUUACACAUCUGGAUGGGUGUGAUAAUGCCUGCCAUAUCAUAACUGCUUCAUAAACAUUAGUCGUUUUAAUCAAAGGCACAUCAUUAUUUAAGGGACAUAUGUAUUAUAUUCACAUUGUGGAAAUCAGUAUGCCAAAGUCAGACACAUGCACUGAACCAGGUGAAGAGGGUCAAGGUUAAUAAUGAUCUUCAUCCACACAGCCACUUAGGCAGUGGUGACUCAGAACCACAGACCCAGGCCCCAGAGACCAGACAUUCAGAUAGGACCCACCAGGUCAGAGCCCAGGAACCUCCAGGGGCAGAGGUGGACACUGAAGGUGAAAGGCACACCCUGGAGACACAGGGCGCAGGGACAGGAAGCACUCAUCCAUCGCCAGGUCAGGCCCUCAGUCAGGUACUUGAUGUCAAAGGUCACUCGUCAGGUUUCCCAUGUGGGGGCAUGGUCCAUGCACAUGGGUGGGAUGUGCAUGCACACAUGUGUACACACACACACACACACACACACAGAAUCAAAUGCACAAACACCAAAGAGGGGCUUUUCAAGAUUGAAGGGUCAUGACCUCCCACACUGUGCUGCAUGGAUACAUCCUCCAAGGUCAACACCACCAGUGGGGCAGGACUCAUACCUGCAGACCCAGUCCCCACGUUCUUCCUGCCACCACUGGGAAGGGGCCUGGAGUCUGGUGAGGCUAGAGGGCUCAUCAUGCACGCGGAGCUUGAGGUCCCGGUGUGAGGGUGUCCUGCAAGGAAGGCAGGGUGCGAGCUGAGUGAUGUGGGCAGAGAAACCCC